AUGUACCAGUCGUACACUGCGGUUCCUGCGCGCCGUCCGCACCCACCUGACGACUGUUCGCCACGUUUUGUAAGCC
rnacentral:sRNA from 1 species